rnacentral:lncRNA from 1 species
CAGGGACAAAUAUUUAAAGAGAAUUUCACCUUAGAAGGAUAUUGCAUAGUGAAAGUGAUGAGCCAAAGUUUUCAUAUUCAUUCAACAAAGGUGUUGGCAGCCAACUCAGUAUUUACUAAGCCCAUCUUUGGCUUUGAUGAUGGCUUGGAUAUAUUCUGUUCCUACUUUCUGCCAGUUUUUUGUUGUAAUCAGUGUCAGUUUCUUCCCAGCAUGAAACAACUGUGGGGCCAUGGGACGAUAUUGACAGGCGUUGGCCUAAGUGUGGUGAGGGAUGCGCAUAAGGAUGGGUAAUGAGAAUCGGCGAAUAAAAUGGAGACGACGUUCAAUGAGAACAACUUCCUUUAUUUGAGAGAUUCCAAUCACAAUGUAUGUGACUCGUGAUUUUACAAUGAGAGGAGAAAUACCUGAUAUAUAUAUAGUUUAAUUCUCCAGGAGACACAGUCGAAACAACCGGAAGAUUCUAAACCGAUGAAUUAGAUGGGCAAUCACAAUUGACAGUCUUUAGUCCAUAAACAAAUCAAGGAUGCACCUAGAGGAGAGA